rnacentral:rRNA from 1 species
UGGGGAAUAUUGCACAAUGGGCGCAAGCCUGAUGCAGCAAUGCCGCGUGAGUGAAGACGGCCUUAGGGUUGUAAAACUCUUUCGCUAGGGAAGAUAAUGACGGUACCUAGUAAAGAAGUCCCGGCUAACUCCGUGCCAGCAGCCGCGGUAAUACGGAGGGGACUAGCGUUGUUCGGAAUUACUGGGCGUAAAGAGUUCGUAGGCGGACUAGCAAGUUAGAGGUGAAAUCCCAGGGCUCAACCUUGGAACUGCCUUUAAAACUGCUAGUCUAGAGACCGGAAGAGGUUAGGGGAAUACCUAGUGUAGAGGUGAAAUUCGUAGAUAUUAGGUGGAACACCAGUGGCGAAGGCGCCUAACUGGUCCGGUACUGACGCUGAGGAACGAAAGCGUGGGGAGCAAACAGGAUUAGAUACCCUGGUAGUCCACGCCGUAAACGAUGAGUGCUAGAUGUUGGGAUUUUCGGAUUUCAGUGUCGCAGCUAACGCAUUAAGC